rnacentral:rRNA from 1 species
AACGAACGCUGGCGGCAGGCCUAACACAUGCAAGUCGAGCGGAUCCUUCGGGAUUAGCGGCGGACGGGUGAGUAACGCGUGGGAAUAUGCCCUUCUCUACGGAAUAGCCUCGGGAAACUGAGAGUAAUACCGUAUACGCCCUUUGGGGGAAAGAUUUAUCGGAGAAGGAUUAGCCCGCGUUGGAUUAGGUAGUUGGUGGGGUAAUGGCCUACCAAGCCUACGAUCCAUAGCUGGGUUGAGAGGAUGAUCAGCCACACUGGGACUGAGACACGGCCCAGACUCCUACGGGAGGCAGCAGUGGGGAAUUUUAGACAAUGGGGGCAACCCUGAUCUAGCCAUGCCGCGUGAGUGAUGAAGGCCUUAGGGUUGUAAAGCUCUUUCAGCUGGGAAGAUAAUGACGGUACCAGCAGAAGAAGCCCCGGCUAACUCCGUGCCAGCCGCCGCGGUAA